rnacentral:lncRNA from 1 species
AUGCUGGGCGGGGCUCCCCAGGGCGCCCCGGCCGGUGGCGGCAGGGGGCACCGCGCAGCCGAGAUGAUCCAGCAAAGAUUGGAAGCCCUGGAGAAGGAGAGAAGCAGCCUGCACUUUCAGCUUCCUUCUCAACAGCCCGCCCUCAGCGGCCUCCUGGGCCACCUGGGGGCCCAGGCCCAGGCUUCCCUGCGCUGGGCAGCUCAGCGAGCUGGCAGUGACGACCCCCAGGCCCGGCUGAGAAUGGAUCCAAAGACGUUGGAAGCCGCUGCUCAGGACAGUUUGCGAGUGUCCAUCACCAGGCGAGACUGGCUUCUCCGAGAAAAGCAGCAGCUACAGAAAGAAAUUGAGACCCUCCAAGCCAGGAUGUCUGUUCUGGAAGCAAAAGAUCAACAGCUGAGACGGGAAAUUGAGGAGCAGGAGCGGCUUCUCCCGUGGCAGGGCUGCGACCUUGUGGGAGGGUUGUCCCUGGGCGAGCUGCAGGAGGUCACCAAGACCUUGCAGGACACCCUGGCCUUGGCCGAGCAGAUUCCCCUCCGUGCAGAGCCACCUGAAGCCAUCCAGAGGAAACCAUUUCUGUACAGCCAA